ACUAAAUCGAUCUGCCCCCCCGGGCUCCUCCUCCCGGCGUUGUCUACCGAAACCCCGCCCCGGAUCUCCGGGACCCUCCCCCCUCCCACCCCGACCACCGCGGCCCCCCCCCCCCACCUCAAUCCCGUUCUAUGGUCCAUCCCCCCCCUGCGGCCGGGCCGGCGUGCUGCCGAACGUCACGGACCGGGGGGGGCGGGGGUUCCCGGGGGGGGUCGUCGGCCGCCAGAGACUCCGCGACCCCUACAGCGAAACGGACGACGACUGCUGCUAACGGAGCGCGGCUGAAUCGCGAUAGGGGGCGUUAUGUCGCGAUAGGGCGCCGUUAUGUCGCGAUAGGGGGCGUUAUGUCGCGAUAGGGCACCAUUAUGUCGCGAUAGGGGGCCGUUAUGUCAC
rnacentral:lncRNA from 1 species